UUGCUGACUUUGAAGUCUGGGCACUGGGAGAAAUUCACAGUUGACCUUUAUUAUUUUGUGGGUCUGCGGGUGCCAAAACUUAAAAACCGGCUU
rnacentral:pre_miRNA from 13 species